rnacentral:lncRNA from 1 species
CUAAAGGCUGAGAGCUGACAGUCCUCCCAGGCAUGAAGUCCUACUUUGAAGGGAGAUCUGGGUAGCAUGACAGUGCCCACCGCACAGCCGUCCUUGACCACCCAGUGUGUGUCCCACUGUGUUCUAUUUGUGGUCUGAAGCAGAGCUGUUAGAGUCAGUGUAGUUUAGCUGAACUGCUUUGGAGACAGAUGUCAGCAGAAAAGAUCCUUCAGGAGUCCCAGCUGUUUUAUUUUGAAAAAGAAAGAAGGCCUCCCAGAUUCC